AAGCUUCAUGGCCGGAUUAAUUAGUGGAGCCAGUGGCACUGUUGCGACCCCGCUGAGUUAGGUCCGGUUGGGCUGGGUUCCUGGAACACGCGUGACAGAGACCGGGCAGUGCCCCUCCCCUCCGCCUCGGAAUUCUUUACCCUUUCCCGGCGAUUCAUAUGCCGCGCCUUUGCGGAGCAAGAAAGAUCAGGGAGGGGAUCCACCCAUGGAAUGGAUGAUCAACACGCUUUAGGCCGGGCACGGGUCAAUUAACUAAGUGGCAUGCGCGUCACGUUCUCGCCUCCCUCCCCUCCCAUCCCAUGAUUAGGAUUUAGGAUGAUGCUUAUAGCGAGGUAGUGGUACAAGUAGAGGCUCCCGGGGUCGCUUGGGGUGGUGGUAGGCAGCUGGAGACUGCGGAAUUGUUGGCGGGCGCGCUCCCGUGUCCGAGAGGAACCCCCUUUUCUCCUGGCAUUAUCCGCUGAGGAGUCUGAGAUAAUUGGAGGUCACUACUAUAUUGAUUGAUCGAUAAGGCUAGGUGUGCGUGCCGGGCGGCCAUGGGUUCUUGCGUGUCGACCACGAGGCGCCGCCGGAGGUCCUCCAGGAAGCUGUCGGCCACGGCGACCAGGUUCCGCCGGAAGGUGUCCGCCGCGAUCGCCGGGGACGCGGCCGGCCGCUUCGCCGCGCGCCACGGGGUCGUGCACGUCGACGGCGCGCCGCCGGCCUCGGGCGUGACCCUCCACCUCACGCAGCUGCAGUGGCAGCACAGCCAGAUGGACGCAGGGAAUGUGAUCUGCGACGAGGCGUGGUACGACUCCGUCAGCAUGCUGGGAGACACGGCCGGCUCCGACGACGACGACAACGAUUACUCCAGCGUCAGUGGAGAUCCUCUCCCGGAAGACGUCGCCGGCGGCACGAGCGCGUCGCCGUGCAAGGACGCGGCGUGCUUGGCGGACGCCGUGCACCGGCUCCGGAGCAUCGCGGACGCGGAGGCGUGCCAGGGCGACCCCCCGGAGAAAAGCGAGGACCCCGGCGCUGCUCCUGCUCCUGGUCAUGCCGCUGCCGGUGGCCUGAAAGAACCGCAGAGCGCGGCGUCCUGCUCGCCUCGGCCUCUCCCGGGCUCCGUCCCGAGCCACAAGGUGCAGCCGAUGCCGGUCGCCGGGUUCAGCCCGCACCACCAGAGGAAGAAAUCGGCCGUCGUCAGGCUCUCCUUCCGGAGGAGGUCGUACGAGGGCGAUGAGAUGACCGAAAUGACUGGCUCGGCCAAGUACCUGUACCGGCCGAGAGCUGGCCUGACGCUGCCGUGUGCGGCCGGCGAGAAGCCGUCGGAGGGCUGCUGGUCGGCCCUCGAGCCGUCGGCGUUCAGGGUCAGAGGGGAGGGCUUCUUCAGAGACAAGAGGAAAUCCCCAGCCCCAAACUGCUCCCCCUACACCCCGAUCGGAGCGGACAUGUUUGCCUGCCCAAGGAAGGUGCACCACAUCGCGCAGCACAUCGCGCUCCCGUCGCUCAAGCCCCACGACGCCUUCCCCUCGCUCCUCAUUGUGAACAUUCAGUUGCCUACCUACCCUACUACCAUGUUCGGCGAGAACGAUGGCGAUGGCGUGUUAGCCUGGUCCUGUAUUUCAAGAUAUCCGAUAGCUUCGACAAGGAGAUCUCUCCUCAGCUCAAGGACAGCAUCAAGAGUGUUAUGAACGAGGAAAUGGAGAAGGUCAAGGGGUUCCCGGUGGACAGCAACGUGCCCUACACAGAGAGGCUGAAAAUCCUGGCCGGCAUUGUAAACCCUGAAGACCUGCAGCUCAGCGCGGCCGAGAGGAGGCUUGUGCAGACCUAUAACCAGAAGCCGGUGCUGUCUAGGCCCCAGCACAAAUUCUACAAGGGCUCGAACUACUUCGAGAUCGACAUCGACGUGCACCGGUUCAGCUACAUAUCGCGAAAGGGCCUCGAGACCUUCCGAGAGCGGCUGAAACAUGGUGUCAUUGAUCUUGGGCUGACCAUUCAGGCGCAGAAGGCCGAGGAGCUACCUGAGCAUGUGCUGUGCUGCAUGAGGCUGAACAAGUUGGAUUUUGCAGACAACGGGCAAAUACCGACGCUCAUAACUUCCAGCGAUGAAUGAAGCUGGAAAAUGUACUGACUUUGAGAGUGAGAGAGACGAGCUGUAUAUAAUACCGGGAGAUAGAUGUAGGAACUAACGCAAAUUUGUUGGGUAACGGUGUAUUGAUCGUGCAAAUAAUCUCGUGCACCGAAUUGCAAUUGGAGCAGUUCUGCUGUCCAAAGUUGUUCAGAUGUUCGAAUAGCCCGCAUGCCUUUUUCAGAACAUGGAAA